AGCUGUUUUUAGCACUGGAGGCAGAGAUGGGAACAUAAUGAUUUGGGACACAAGAUGCAGUAAAAAAGAUGGUUUCUACAGGCAGGUAAAACAGAUCAGUGGUGCCCAUAUGAAACCUGAAAAAUGCACACCUCAAACAAAGAAAAGGCGUGGGAUGGCGCCCCCUGUGGACUCUCAGCAGGGUGUGACAGUGGUUUUGUUCUGCGAUGAGAACAAACUCAUCUCCUCAGGAGCAGUAGAUGGG